UUAAGCGACUAAGCGUACACGGUGGAUGCCCGGCAGUCAGAGGCGAUGAAGGACGUGCUAAUCUGCGAUAAGCGUCGGUGAGGUGAUAUGAACCGUUAUAACCGGCGAUUUCCGAAUGGGGAAACCCAGUGUGUUUCGACACACUAUCAUUAACUGAAUCCAUAGGUUAAUGAGGCGAACCGGGGAACUGAAACAUCUAAGUACCCCGAGGAAAGAAAUCAACCGAGAUUCCCCAGUAGCGGCGAGCGAACGGGGAGGAGCCCAGAGCCUGAAUCAGUGUGUGUGUUAGUGGAAGCGUCUGGAAAGGCGCGCGAUACAGGGUGACAGCCCCGUACACAAAAAUGCACAUACUGUGAGCUCGAUGAGUAGGGCGGGACACGUGGUAUCCUGUCUGAAUAUGGGGGACCAUCCUCCAAGGCUAAAUACUCCUGACUGACCGAUAGUGAACCAGUACCGUGAGGGAAAGGCGAAAAGAACCCCGGCGAGGGGUGAAAAGAACCUGAAACCGUGUACGUACAAGCAGUGGGAGCCUCUUAAUGGGGUGACUGCGUACCUUUUGUAUAAUGGGUCAGCGACUUAUAUUCUGUAGCAAGGUUAACCGAAUAGGGGAGCCGAAGGGAAACCGAGUCUUAACUGGGCGUUAAGUUGCAGGGUAUAGACCCGAAACCCGGUGAUUCAGCCAUGGGCAGGUUGAAGGUUGGGUAACACUAACUGGAGGACCGAACCGACUAAUGUUGAAAAAUUAGCGGAUGACUUGUGGCUGGGGGUGAAAGGCCAAUCAAACCGGGAGAUAGCUGGUUCUCCCGAAAGCUAUUUAGGUAGCGCCUCGUGAAUUCAUCUCCGGGGUAGAGCACUGUUUCGGCAAGGGGGUCAUCCCGACUUACCAACCCGAUGCAAACUGCGAAUACCGGAGAAUGUUAUCACGGGAGACACACGGCGGGUGCUAACGUCCGUCGUGAAGAGGGAAACAACCCAGACCGCCAGCUAAGGUCCCAAAGUCAUGGUUAAGUGGGAAACGAUGUGGGAAGGCCCAGACAGCCAGGAUGUUGGCUUAGAAGCAGCCAUCAUUUAAAGAAAGCGUAAUAGCUCACUGGUCGAGUCGGCCUGCGCGGAAGAUGUAACGGGCUAAACCAUGCACCGAAGCUGCGGCAGCGACACUAUGUGUUGUUGGGUAGGGAGCGUUCUGUAAGCCUGUGAAGGUGUACUGUGAGGUAUGCUGGAGGUAUCAGAAGUGCGAAUGCUGACAUAAGUAACGAUAAAGCGGGUGAAAAGCCCGCUCGCCGGAAGACCAAGGGUUCCUGUCCAACGUUAAUCGGGGCAGGGUGAGUCGACCCCUAAGGCGAGGCCGAAAGGCGUAGUCGAUGGGAAACAGGUUAAUAUUCCUGUACUUGGUGUUACUGCGAAGGGGGGACGGAGAAGGCUAUGUUGGCCGGGCGACGGUUGUCCCGGUUUAAGCGUGUAGGCUGGUUUUCCAGGCAAAUCCGGAAAAUCAAGGCUGAGGCGUGAUGACGAGGCACUACGGUGCUGAAGCGACAAAUGCCCUGCUUCCAGGAAAAGCCUCUAAGCAUCAGGUAACAUCAAAUCGUACCCCAAACCGACACAGGUGGUCAGGUAGAGAAUACCAAGGCGCUUGAGAGAACUCGGGUGAAGGAACUAGGCAAAAUGGUGCCGUAACUUCGGGAGAAGGCACGCUGAUAUGUAGGUGAAGCGACUUGCUCGUGGAGCUGAAAUCAGUCGAAGAUACCAGCUGGCUGCAACUGUUUAUUAAAAACACAGCACUGUGCAAACACGAAAGUGGACGUAUACGGUGUGACGCCUGCCCGGUGCCGGAAGGUUAAUUGAUGGGGUUAGCGGUAACGCGAAGCUCUUGAUCGAAGCCCCGGUAAACGGCGGCCGUAACUAUAACGGUCCUAAGGUAGCGAAAUUCCUUGUCGGGUAAGUUCCGACCUGCACGAAUGGCGUAAUGAUGGCCAGGCUGUCUCCACCCGAGACUCAGUGAAAUUGAACUCGCUGUGAAGAUGCAGUGUACCCGCGGCAAGACGGAAAGACCCCGUGAACCUUUACUAUAGCUUGACACUGAACAUUGAGCCUUGAUGUGUAGGAUAGGUGGGAGGCUUUGAAGUGUGGACGCCAGUCUGCAUGGAGCCGACCUUGAAAUACCACCCUUUAAUGUUUGAUGUUCUAACGUGGGCCCCUUACCGGGGUUGCGGACAGUGUCUGGUGGGUAGUUUGACUGGGGCGGUCUCCUCCUAAAGAGUAACGGAGGAGCACGAAGGUUGGCUAAUCCUGGUCGGACAUCAGGAGGUUAGUGCAAUGGCAUAAGCCAGCUUGACUGCGAGCGUGACGGCGCGAGCAGGUGCGAAAGCAGGUCAUAGUGAUCCGGUGGUUCUGAAUGGAAGGGCCAUCGCUCAACGGAUAAAAGGUACUCCGGGGAUAACAGGCUGAUACCGCCCAAGAGUUCAUAUCGACGGCGGUGUUUGGCACCUCGAUGUCGGCUCAUCACAUCCUGGGGCUGAAGUAGGUCCCAAGGGUAUGGCUGUUCGCCAUUUAAAGUGGUACGCGAGCUGGGUUUAGAACGUCGUGAGACAGUUCGGUCCCUAUCUGCCGUGGGCGCUGGAGAACUGAGGGGGGCUGCUCCUAGUACGAGAGGACCGGAGUGGACGCAUCACUGGUGUUCGGGUUGUCAUGCCAAUGGCACUGCCCGGUAGCUAAAUGCGGAAGAGAUAAGUGCUGAAAGCAUCUAAGCACGAAACUUGCCCCGAGAUGAGUUCUCCCUGACUCCUUGAGAGUCCUGAAGGAACGUUGAAGACGACGACGUUGAUAGGCCGGGUGUGUAAGCGCAGCGAUGCGUUGAGCUAACCGGUACUAAUGAACCGUGAGGCUUAACCU
rnacentral:rRNA from 1 species